GGGUUGUGAGGUUAAGCGACUAAGCGUACACGGUGGAUGCCCUGGCAGUCAGAGGCGAUGAAGGACGUGCUAAUCUGCGAAAAGCGUCGGUAAGGUGAUAUGAACCGUUAUAACCGGCGAUGUCCGAAUGGGGAAACCCAGUGCAAUUCGUUGCACUAUCGUUAACUGAAUACAUAGGUUAACGAGGCGAACCGGGGGAACUGAAACAUCUAAGUACCCCGAGGAAAAGAAAUCAACCGAGAUUCCCCCAGUAGCGGCGAGCGAACGGGGAGCAGCCCAGAGUCUGAAUCAGCUUGUGUGUUAGUGGAACGGUCUGGAAAGUCCGACGGUACAGGGUGAUAGUCCCGUACACCAAAAUGCACAGGUUGUGAACUCGAAGAGUAGGGCGGGACACGUGGUAUCCUGUCUGAAUAUGGGGGGACCAUCCUCCAAGGCUAAAUACUCCUGACUGACCGAUAGUGAACCAGUACCGUGAGGGAAAGGCGAAAAGAACCCCGGCGAGGGGAGUGAAAAAGAACCUGAAACCGUGUACGUACAAGCAGUGGGAGCACCUUCGGGUGUGACUGCGUACCUUUUGUAUAAUGGGUCAGCGACUUAUAUUCUGUAGCAAGGUUAACCGUAUAGGGGAGCCGCAGGGAAACCGAGUCUUAACUGGGCGUUAAGUUGCAGGGUAUAGACCCGAAACCCGGUGAUCUAGCCAUGGGCAGGUUGAAGGUUGGGUAACACUAACUGGAGGACCGAACCGACUAAUGUUGAAAAAUUAGCGGAUGACUUGUGGCUGGGGGUGAAAGGCCAAUCAAACCGGGAGAUAGCUGGUUCUCCCCGAAAGCUAUUUAGGUAGCGCCUCGUGAACUCAUCUUCGGGGGUAGAGCACUGUUUCGGCUAGGGGGUCAUCCCGACUUACCAACCCGAUGCAAACUACGAAUACCGAAGAAUGUUAUCACGGGAGACACACGGCGGGUGCUAACGUCCGUCGUGAAGAGGGAAACAACCCAGACCGCCAGCUAAGGUCCCAAAGUCAUGGUUAAGUGGGAAACGAUGUGGGAAGGCACAGACAGCCAGGAUGUUGGCUUAGAAGCAGCCAUCAUUUAAAGAAAGCGUAAUAGCUCACUGGUCGAGUCGGCCUGCGCGGAAGAUGUAACGGGGCUAAACCAUGCACCGAAGCUGCGGCAGCGACACUAUGUGUUGUUGGGUAGGGGAGCGUUCUGUAAGCCUGCGAAGGUGACCUGUGAGGGUUGCUGGAGGUAUCAGAAGUGCGAAUGCUGACAUAAGUAACGAUAAAGCGGGUGAAAAGCCCGCUCGCCGGAAGACCAAGGGUUCCUGUCCAACGUUAAUCGGGGCAGGGUGAGUCGACCCCUAAGGCGAGGCCGAAAGGCGUAGUCGAUGGGAAACAGGUUAAUAUUCCUGUACUUGGUGUUACUGCGAAGGGGGGACGGAGAAGGCUAUGUUAGCCGGGCGACGGUUGUCCCGGUUUAAGCAUGUAGGCUGGUUGUCCAGGCAAAUCCGGAUAAUCAAGGCUGAGGUGUGAUGACGAGG
rnacentral:rRNA from 1 species